GUUAAGCAACCGAGUGUUUUUCUUUAUGGUUUAUAAACUGCUGUGAAAUAAAUCUGAAACUCUAAUUGCCAAAUUGCCGAAAGGCUUCUGCUGAAAACUAUAAAUGAACAUAAUACAAGGAAGAAUUGAAAAAAAUAAAUAUUAAGUGUUGUACCAUUUAAUUUGUUUAUUAACUUUGCGUAACUAGAUGGUCAACUGAUAUGCGAUAUUUGUAAUCCUAAAUAUCAGACGGAACAUGUUGUUGUCUCUGAGAAAACUAGGCAAGGUGUGUUUAUUUUAGUCACUGGACUGGUUAUUUGAUAGGUGGAAAGCUGGUCAACAGGCGCCAAUUCAUUACAAACCCAAAGUAGUUAACGUUAUUUAUGAGUAUGUAGCGUUAAAUUGUCUGACGAUUUAUAUAAGAUACCGAACUGCUUGGUCGAGGAGCUGCUGCACGAAAUUUUCAUCAUCGCAUAUGUGUGAAGGAUUUAAUGGUGAGCAUGCAUAAGGGAAUUAAUUGCCACUUAAGGCGAACAUUAAGCAGCAGCAAAUUCAACUAACACGAGAAGGUGAUAAGAAGAUUUGCAUAAAAAUAAAGGAAACUCAAUUUCAAUCGUUUAAGUUUAUUACGUCUAUUAAAUGUGUCUGAAUUUCACUUUUGUGCAGUGCAGAGAAACAAUUGUCGAAAAAUAGUUUUUGGUUUUCCUUUCAACUCACAUUUGUGUUUUGUUAUUUUGAUAGGACUUCAAAGAUUUAUUAUUCAAUAAUUGAUAAUUAAAAGAAAACACUUAAUUUAAUUUUAAUUUCCUUUUGUAGAUCACAAAACGAAUGUUUCUUAUUACUCAUUAAUGAAGUGUUAAUUAAAUUCGAAAGUUAUAUUCUGACAUUUUUAGUGAAAUAUUUAUGAAGAGUCUCUUUCUUAAGCUUCGAGCUAACAAUUUUGAUUGGGAUUAUUUCAAUGCUGAGGCAAAAUCGAACUGGCGAGCUGAAGUUUAUACGUUGAUCCAUAUCUGGCUAAUGGCUAAGUGGAGAGGGGAGAGAGGAGGAUGGCUAAAGAGAAGCUAGGCCAGUACACGACACGACAGGACAGGACUGACUUGGCCGGAAAGAGUCUGCACAGCAGGCGGCUGGCCGGUUGGUUGGUUGGUUGGCUGACUGGCUGACUGGCUGGUUGGCUGACUAGCAGGCUGUGCACGUUGUUGGGGCAGGUGGAGCACAUGGCACAUUUGAGCUGAUGCUGCGUCAAAGGCAACAAAUUCAAGUGGCAACAUGUUUCGACAACAACAGCUACAACAAAGUGCACUAACAUAGAUGCCAGGGCCAGCGGCAAUGCGAAUGUUGUCGAACAACACCAGAGCAGCAACAACAACAA